rnacentral:rRNA from 1 species
GACGGACGCUGGCGGCGUGCUUAACACAUGCAAGUCGAACGGAAAGGCCCCAGCUUGCUGGGGUACUCGAGUGGCGAACGGGUGAGUAACACGUGGGUGAUCUGCCCUGCACUCUGGGAUAAGCCUGGGAAACUGGGUCUAAUACCGGAUAGGACCGUGCUUUAGUGUGUGCGGUGGAAAGUUUUUCGGUGCAGGAUGAGCCCGCGGCCUAUCAGCUUGUUGGUGGGGUAAUGGCCUACCAAGGCGGCGACGGGUAGCCGGCCUGAGAGGGUGUACGGCCACAUUGGGACUGAGACACGGCCCAGACUCCUAUGGGAGGCAGCAGUGGGGAAUAUUGCACAAUGGGCGCAAGCCUGAUGCAGCGACGCCGCGUGGGGGAUGACGGCCUUCGGGUUGUAAACCCCUUUCGGCAGGGACGAAGCUUUUGUGACGGUACCUGCAUAAGAAGCACCGGCUAACUACGUG